UGGGGAAUAUUGCGCAAUGGGGGCAACCCUGACGCAGCAACGCCGCGUGCGGGACGACGGCCUUCGGGUUGUAAACCGCUUUCAGCAGGGAAGAUAGUGACGGUACCUGCACAAGAAGCCCCGGCUAACUACGUGCCAGCAGCCGCGGUAAUACGUAGGGGGCGAGCGUUAUCCGGAUUCAUUGGGCGUAAAGCGCGCGCAGGCGGCUCUUCAAGCGGAACCUCUAACCCCGGGGCUCAACCUCGGGCCGGGUUCCGAACUGGAGGGCUCGAGUGCGGUAGAGGCAGGCGGAAUUCCCGGUGUAGCGGUGGAAUGCGCAGAUAUCGGGAAGAACACCGAUGGCGAAGGCAGCCUGCUGGGCCGGCACUGACACUGAGGCGCGAAAGCUAGGGGAGCGAACAGG
rnacentral:rRNA from 1 species